AUUGAACGCUGGCGGCAUGCCUUACACAUGCAACUCGAACGGCAGCACGGGACCAAUCCUGGUGGCGCGUGGCGAACGGGUGAGUAAUGUCUCGGAACGUGCCCAGUCGUGGGGGAUAACGUAGCGAAAGCUCCGCUAAUACCGCAUACGAUCUGUGGAUGAAAGCGGGGGUACGUCAGCCCUCCCGCGAUUGGACCGGCCAAUAUCCGCUGAGCGAGUUGGUGGGGUAAAGGCCUACGAAGCCGACGAUCUGUAGCUGGUCCGAGAGGACGACCAGCCACACUGGGACUGAGACACGGCCCAGACUCCUACGUGAGGCAGCAGUGGGGAAUUUUGGACAAUGGGCGCAAGCCUGAUCCAGCAAUGCCGCGUGCAGGAUGAAGGCCUUCGGGUUGUAAACUGCUUUUGUACGGAGCGAAAAGGCUCUCUCUAAUACAGGGGGCUCAUGACGGUACCGUAAGAAUAAUCACCGGCUAACUACGUGCCAGCCGCCGCAGUAA
rnacentral:rRNA from 1 species